UAGGGAAUCUUCGGCAAUGGACGGAANUCNGGACCGAGCAACGCCGCGUGAGUGAAGAAGGUUUUCGGAUCGUAAAGCUCUGUUGUAAGAGAAGAACGAGUGUGAGAGUGGAAAGUUCACACUGUGACGGUAUCUUACCAGAAAGGGACGGCUAACUACGUGCCAGCAGCCGCGGUAAUACGUAGGUCCCGAGCGUUGUCCGGAUUUAUUGGGCGUAAAGCGAGCGCAGGCGGUUAGAUAAGUCUGAAGUUAAAGGCUGUGGCUUAACCAUAGUACGCUUUGGAAACUGUUUAACUUGAGUGCAAGAGGGGAGAGUGGAAUUCCAUGUGUAGCGGUGAAAUGCGUAGAUAUAUGGAGGAACACCGGUGGCGAAAGCGGCUCUCUGGCUUGUAACUGACGCUGAGGCUCGAAAGCGUGGGGAGCAAACAGGAUUAGAUACCCUGGUAGUCCACGCCGUAAACGAUGAGUGCUAGGUGUUAGACCCUUUCCGGGGUUUAGUGCCGCAGCUAACGCAUUAAGCACUCCGCCUGGGGAGUACGACCGCAAGUUG
rnacentral:rRNA from 1 species